CCUACGGGUGGCAGCAGUGGGGAAUAUUGGGCAAUGGGCGCAAGCCUGACCCAGCAACGCAGCGUGAAGGAAGAAGGCUUUCGGGUUGUAAACUUCUUUUAAGAGGGAAGAGCAGAAGACGGUACCUCUUGAAUAAGCCACGGCUAACUACGAGCCAGCAGCCGCGGUAAUACGUAGGUGGCCAGCGUUGCCCGGAUUUACUGGGUGUAACGGGCGUGCAGCCGGGAAGACAAGUCAGAUGUGAAAUCCCGCGGCUCAACCGCGGAACUGCAUUUGAAACUGUUUCUCUUGAGUACCGGAGAGGUCAUCGGAAUUCCUUGUGUAGCGGUGAAAUGCGUAGAUAUAAGGAAGAACACCAGUGGCGAAGGCAGAUGACUGGACGGCAACUGACGGUGAGGCGCGAAAGCGUGGGGAGCAAACAGGAUUAGAUACCCUAGUAGUC
rnacentral:rRNA from 1 species